rnacentral:rRNA from 1 species
AGAGUUUGAUCCUGGCUCAGAACGAACGCUGGCGGCGUGGAUAAGACAUGCAAGUCGGACGAGAUUUCGUCCUGUAGCAAUAUGGGAUGAAGUCUAGUGGCGAACGGGUGCUUAACACGUGGGCAACCUGCCGAGAAGUGGGGGAUAGCUCGCCGAAAGGCGAAUUAAUACCGCAUGUGAUCAGAGAGGACAUCCUUUCGAAAUUAAAGCUGGGGCAACCUAGCGCUUCUUGUGGGGCCCGCGGCCUAUCAGCUAGUUGGUGAGGUAACGGCUCACCAAGGCUUUGACGGGUAGCUGGUCUGAGAGGACGACCAGCCACACUGGGACUGAGACACGGCCCAGACACCUACGGGUGGCAGCAGUCGAGAAUUUUUCUCAAUGGGGGAAACCCUGAAGGAGCGACGCCGCGUGGAGGAUGAAGGUCUUCGGAUUGUAAACUCCUGUCAUUGGGGAACAAGGUGCAUACGUUAACUGCGUGUGCAUUGAUAGUACCCGAAGAGGAAGAGACGGCUAACUCUGUGCCAGCAGCCGCGGUAAUACAGAGGUCUCAAGCGUUGUUCGGAUUCAUUGGGCGUAAAGGGUGCGUAGGCGGCGCGGUAAGUCGGGUGUGAAAUCUUGGAGCUUAACUCCGAAACUGCAUUCGAUACUGCCGUGCUUGAGGACUGGAGAGGAGACUGGAAUUUACGGUGUAGCGGUGAAAUGCGUAGAUAUCGUAAGGAAGACCAGUGGCGAAGGCGGGUCUCUGGACAGUUCCUGACGCUGAGGCACGAAGGCCAGGGGAGCAAACGGAUUAGAUACCCUAGUAGUCC